rnacentral:rRNA from 1 species
UACGGAGGAUGCGAGCGUUAUCCGGAUUUAUUGGGUUUAAAGGGUGCGCAGGCGGCACGGCAAGCCGGCGGUCAAAUCGCGGGGCUCAACCCCGCCCAGCCGUCGGAUCUGCCGGGCUAGAGUGGGCGAGAAGUGCGCGGAAUGCGUGGUGUAGCGGUGAAAUGCAUAGAUAUCACGCAGAACUCCGAUUGCGAAGGCAGCGCACCGGCGCCCUACUGACGCUCAGGCACGAAAGCGUGGGUAUCGAACAGG